AUUGAACGCUGGCGGAAUGCUUUACACAUGCAAGUCGAACGGUAGAGGGGGCAACCCCUCGAGAGUGGCGAACGGGUGAGUAAUAUAUCGGAACGUGCCCAGUCGUGGGGGAUAACGUAGCGAAAGUUACGCUAAUACCGCAUACGAUCUAAGGAUGAAAGCGGGGGACCGUAAGGCCUCGCGCGAUUGGAGCGGCCGAUAUCAGAUUAGGUAGUUGGUGAGGUAAAGGCUCACCAAGACACCGAUCUGUAGCUGGUCUGAGAGGACGACCAGCCACACUGGAACUGAGACACGGUCCAGACUCCUACGGGAGGCAGCAGUGGGGAAUUUUGGACAAUGGACGCAAGUCUGAUCCAGCCAUUCCGCGUGCAGGAUGAAGGCCCUCGGGUUGUAAACUGCUUUUGUACGGAACGAAAAGGUCUCUCCUAAUACGAGGGGCUCAUGACGGUACCGUAAGAAUAAGCACCGGCUAACUACGUGCCAGCAGCCGCGGUAA
rnacentral:rRNA from 1 species